UCCACCUCUUAACAUAAAAAUAGUUUUCUUGCCUUAUUGAGUUUCUAGGGACAAGGAAUUGAAAUACUCAAAUCUCAUGUUAUGUCAUACCAGGAAAUGUAAACAAGAUCUUCCUCCACACAUUUCUUGUCAGAAUUUACCAUUGCAAUAUUCAUGGGUAAUUGCAUGUUUACCAUUCUAUUGCUUCAUGAACAAACUGGAAGCUGUUGCUGAUCCCUAUAGCUCCUAUAUAGUAGAAAUUUUCCAUUCCAUACUGGUGCUGCUUGCUUAAGUUCAACUUAAUUGUUCCUUUGGGAUUUCUCCAGGGGGUUAAUAUUAUGAAGUGUGUUUUUGACUGCCAUAUACUAAAUUCACAAUGACUUGCUUAGUUCUAUUACAUAAGCACAUCUCAAUCAUCUUUUCUCAUUCUAUAACUAAUUGUCUCUUUCUAUUUUUUUGUCCUGUGAGAAUCCUCUUGUAAGAGUCCAUGCUUCACUAUGAGCAUCAACCCAUGACGUUUUCAUUUAAAAAACGUUUUAACUUAUUGUAAGCGAUGGAGUUUACAUUCUCGAAGAAGGAUGUGUUUCUGCAUCUUGUUCCUUCAUUGGAGCAUAAUCUCUUAUCACAUUAACACCACUGCAACCCCGCUCUAACUGCACUUUGCAAAACCUAUCUAGUACUUUUUUCAGUACUGAAUUUUUUCUUUUCUUCUUUUUUGAAUAUUAGUAGCAAAGCAUUUGUUGUGGAUGGAAAAGUGGCCUGUCUGGUUUAAAGACUCUAAACUAGUCCAAUUGGGAGGGAAAAGACUCUAAAACUAGUCCAAUUGGGAGGGGCAGAAUUAAGUUAUGAAUAUGAACAAAAGAAAAUUACAGAAAGUAUGAUUAAAUAGAAAUGGAGGAAUAAUUUUGAAGCAAUUUUAAAAGGCAUAGACAUUGAUAUCAGGUUAUAUUGCAAAUUAUUUUAAAUAUAAUUUUAUAUGUGGUUCUAUCAUCAAUUCAUGAAAAGAAUAUGUGAUAUGGACACCAAGAUAUAUUUUCUACGGCCCACAAUGACUUCCUAGACAUGAGCAGAAGCAGGCUCAUUCUUUGAUCUCAUUGAAGGGGUCCAAGGUGCAGUAGCUGAAGAUGAAGGUGUUUUCCCAUGAGGAAAUAUUGAAACACUGGUUAGAAGUUCUUGAAACCAAUCCAGGUUGUAGGGCUGCUUAAUACCGGCCAGAUGGGUAAUGAACGUAUGAUGCUGUCCCCUGAUAAUGGAACUCCUCUUCACAAUAACUCCUCUUCACAAUAACUGUCAUUUCUUGGUCACUUCAUAAGUGGGAUCCAAUAUCAAUUUCUUAAGAGUGGAAUGGUAAUGAGAAUGAAAAAAGGGUGCAGUCUGAUCCAAACAUGUUGGACUGGCCAAAAAUAUGUUAAAAAAUUUAGAAAUUGAAAAAACCUUAAAAAAUGUAAAGAUGAGAAAAUUAAGGCAAAUAAAUUUUCUAAUCAUAGAAAUGAUUUUUGUAUGUUCGAUGUUUUAAGUUUGAUCUAUGUCCAACAAAUUGUUAAGUAUUGCUAAGUAGGCUUCAGGAAUAGCAAGUUCUACCUACAUGUGGAUGGGGACCUUGCUACAGUGAAUCAGGUUCUUCAAUAGUGUUAUUUCAGCUCUCUUGUAUAUACGUUCGACUAACUCAAUAUAAUCAGGUGGACCAAUGGAAAAUCCCCUCGUUCAAGCCAGCAUACAUGUGUGCUCAGUACAAUCUUAAUCGUGGUGACAUCUUUUCUGUUGGGUAUGCUCAUGAGAGAACAAAAUGGAUGUAUUCUCAAAGUUGUGGUGAAAGUAUAUGUAUCUGUUUUUGGGGAUGAGAGAGGGAAAGAGAUAGCAAUUGCUGGACUAAAAUCAAAAGCUAAAUACAUUCGCAGUGCUCUUGGAAGGCGUAUGAAGCUACGAUUGACUCCUGAGAUACGUUUUAUCGAGGAUGAUUCCAUAGAACGAGGGAGCAGGGUGAUUGCAAUAUUGGAUAAGCUGAAAAAUGAGAGCCAGAAUGCACACGUUCAUGAUGAAAUAAGUGACUUGGAUACACCUGAGCAAGAUGAGGGCUCAACACCGAGCAAAUCUGCAAGUGUUUUUCAAGACAAAGAUUGGCAAGAAGAUGAGGAUGAUGAUGUCUUUUAUGUAAAGUAGCCUUCUAUUUCUGAGACCAUCGACUAUUGGCACAUGGGUGGUUACUCAGUUGUAGUGGAAGAUUGAUAAGAGAAUUGGAGGCUUGCAACCAUAGUGAUCAAAUUGGAGGGAUCUGCUUGCUCUCUCUCUCUCUCUCUCUCUCCACACACACACACA